rnacentral:misc_RNA from 1 species
GAUGAAGAACGUAGCGAAAUGCGAUAAGUAAUGUGAAUUGCAGAAUUCAGUGAAUCAUCGAAUCUUUGAACGCACAUUGCGCCCGCCAGUAUUCUGGCGGGCAUGUCUGUUCGAGCGUCAUUUCAACCAUCAAGCCCUGCUUGCGUUGGGGUCCUGCGGCUGCCCGCAGGCCCUGAAAACCAGUGGCGGGCUCGCUAGUCACACCGAGCGCAGUAAUACAUCUCGCUUUGGGCGUGCGGCGGGUUCUUGCCGUUAAACACCCCCUUUUUACCAAGGUUGACCUCGGAUCAGGUAGGAAUACCCGCUGAACUUAAGCAUAUCAAUAAGCGGAGGA